rnacentral:rRNA from 1 species
UACAGAGGUGGCAAGCGUUGUUCGGAAUUACUGGGCGUAAAGGGCGAGUAGGCGGCCUUCUAAGUCAGACGUGAAAUCCCCCGGCUUAACCUGGGAACUGCGUCUGAUACUGAAGAUCUUGAGUUCGGGAGAGGUGAGUGGAACUGCGAGUGUAGAGGUGAAAUUCGUAGAUAUUCGCAAGAACACCAGUGGCGAAGGCGGCUCACUGGCCCGAUACUGACGCUGAGGCACGAAAGCGUGGGGAGCAAACAGG